UUUAUAUUUCACAAGGAGCUUGAGCACAUUUUACAAGCAUUUACUGGGAAGUGAAAAUGACUAUUUCCAUUUACUAGGUAAAGAAACGGACGCAUCGAGAACAAGGCAUGCUGAAACCAGGAACCGGACCCAGAUCUCCAACCAUGCCCUCCAGCCGGUAUGGCCAAUGCCCACUUCCUCUGCAGAGGAGAUUCUAGGGGGCACUGUAGCAGGCUCUGGAGAUACAGCACUGUAAAGACCACUCACAGGGCCUCCCUGGUGUUAUUAUUAUGAGAGCUCUGAAGGCAAAGCGAAAUACACCACCACAGUGAGUAACGGGGGGCUUACGUUUUAUAGGACAGACACGGAAGAACUUUCCAAAAC
rnacentral:lncRNA from 1 species